CCUUGUGCACACCGCCCGUCACACCAUGGGAGUUGGUUUUACCUUAAGACGGUGUGCUAACCCGCAAGGGAGGCAGCCGGCCACGGUAAGGUCAGCGACUGGGGUG
rnacentral:rRNA from 1 species